UCGUGCCUACGUAUCCUUAUGGUGCAAUAAGAAAAUCAGAGCAUUCGUAGUUCGGGGACCAUGAUUGGUUGGUGUGUUUUGUUCUAUGAACGACUGUGUAGGUCAGAGUUCUAAAGGCUAAACAUUGGCUUGUCUACUCUCGGUGGAGGCUCUAACACUAGUUUGUUGUGCGCAUUAUAAAGGAUUGACAAUGUUCUUUUUGAAAGAAAGGUUUUGGUCACACGGGGGGUGACAAGUUGAGUUAAUAUGUUUGAUGUCUUGUUUGACUGGUUUCGAUCGCACGAGGGCGAGAAAAGAUAGACUUGAUGGGUUAAGAUAUUUUGGUUGGAUGACAAUUACUCGGAUAGUCGAGUAAGACAACUCGCAUCCCAAUAGUCGAGAAAGGGAAUAGAAGAGUCUAGACCACUUUCUUUUUCAUCCUUAAUUAUAAAAGGAUUUAGUGAUGAUUAAGGUGUUCUGAAUGGAUGACGAAUACUCGGAUAUCCGAGUAAGACAAUUCGUAUCCUAAUAAUCGGGAAAGGGAAUAAAAGACUUUAGACCGCUUUUUUUUUUCAUCUGAGCGAUUAUGAAAAUGGGUUUAUGUAUGAUUGAUGUAUUUUAGAAUGAAUGACAAGUACUUGAAUGACUGAGUAAGACAACUCAUAUCCAAGCAUUUGAGGAGAGGAAUCAAACACGGUGGCAGGAUACGAAUUCCACGGCGGAGGGUAUGAAUAUUCAUGGAGGAGCUCAAGAACAACAUGACAACGCCACCGUGGGCUGCACAGAAUUUAAUCAAAUCCUCUACCCUACCUAAACAAAGCCUCUUAAAUCCAAAUCCAUCCAUGAAAUUCACAAAUAACCACUCAAAAACAACAAAAUGCAAUUUAUAGUAAAACCCUAGAAUUCUUGAAAAAACAGAGUUAACUCAUCACCUUCAACCAAACCAAGCAGUACAUAGAGGGUUUCUAAUGGGUUAAUCAUGGAAAGGACUAGGGUACAACAAUUUUGCUAAAAUUGUGAAGAAGUCUACCUAACCGGAGUUAGUCCGGUGAAGUUCUCUCUGGCGACCCUCAGAUAAGUCUAUUUCCUUUCUUCUUCUACUUUUCGAUGUCCUUCUUCUUCUACUUUUUCUGCGUGUCCUACUUUUAUUUAUGGUGUAUUAGGUUUAGCUCACUUGAAGUUUUCCUGAGGAACCAUGAAUCAUUCUCCUACUUUUCUGUUGGGUAAAGAUUACCAAAAAAAUAUUUUGACAGCAUAACAGUAGUGUAGAAUGAAUUUUUUUAGUAUAAUAACGUAUCCUUCUUUAUAGGAAGUUUUUUUGGGAUUAGGAUGAGAUUCGUGGGCCAUUGAUGAGUUAUGCAUUUCUGACCAUAUUAAUCCAUUGGAGAGAAUUUUCCUUAGAUUUGUGGGGACCAAAUAUGGAUCUUGCGAGUUUGUUAGGGAAAAAUAUCCUUCUUGUCUGUAGUAAGAAAUUUCGUGGUGCUUGUAAAAGCUCGCUGUGAAACGCAAAAUUUACUAUGGUAACAAUGUAAUUUAAUUUUUGUUGUUGUCAUCAUCUUGUUUUGCUUAGCGUAUGAUUUUAAUUCCUUUACUCUAAAUCAUGGCUUUGUGACUUUAUUUUGACAGGUUUUUUACUGGUGUGGUUGCAGCAUCGUCGACAUUGUCGUUGAGUACGUUGCAUUGCAUUUCACUUUGCAGUCGGAUGCGCACAGUCUUGGUCAUCGCUUAUUUUGUGUAGCUGGGUGCAUUGGUCUUGUGAAUUCGUGCACUGAUGCUAGCUGGUUAAACUUGGCUACGGUUUGACGUCGACAUGCUUUCACUUGGAAUGCUGCGUUUUGGAUUGUUGCAACUCCAUAUUUUGGAAUUUUGAAGCUUUAAUGUUAUCAGUAGCUCCAUCUGCUUUGAACCGUUACAUAUAUGCAUCAUCAGUGGACAACGAGUUGGAAAGGUUUACGACAUAACCUAUUUUGGGAGGAGUAUUCUAAGCUGCUUCUAUAGUCUUCUUUUGGUAUCACGGCAUGUCGUUCGUUGUUUUGUCAUUCCGCCGCUCAUGGUAGCUUGUUUUCAAAUUGUCUUCUUUUGGUUUGUCCCUUUUUUUGCCAUGUAGAGUUGUUAUUUCAAAUAUGUAAAAAUGAAUAAUGGUUUGGGUUGUAAUGACCUUUGGUUUAUUGGGUUAAAUUGGUUCAGGUGAAUGAACUGUGAGUUUUAUGACGAAAAUGGCUUUAUGUUGAAAUGUUUCAAA